rnacentral:rRNA from 1 species
AUUGAACGCUGGCGGCAGGCCUAACACAUGCAAGUCGAGCGGCAGCGGGAAAGUAGCCUGCUACUUUUGCCGGCGAGCGGCGGACGGGUGAGUAAUGCCUGGGGAUCUGCCCAGUCGAGGGGGAUAACUACUGGAAACGGUAGCUAAUACCGCAUACGCCCUACGGGGGAAAGCAGGGGCCCUUCGGGCCUUGCGCGAUUGGAUGAACCCAGGUGGGAUUAGCUAGUUGGUGAGGUAAUGGCUCACCAAGGCGACGAUCCCUAGCUGGUCUGAGAGGAUGACCAGCCACACUGGAACUGAGACACGGUCCAGACUCCUACGGGAGGCAGCAGUGGGGAAUAUUGCACAAUGGGGGAAACCCUGAUGCAGCCAUGCCGCGCGUGUGAAGAAGGCCUUCGGGUUGUAAAGCACUUUCAGCGAGGAGGAAAGGUUGGUAGCUAAUAACUGCCAGCUGUGACGUUACUCGCAGAAGAAGCACCGGCUAACUCCGUGCCAGCAGCCGCCGUAACAC